rnacentral:tRNA from 1 species
GCCGACUUAACUCAACCGGGAGAGUGCUUCCCUUACAAGGAAGAAGUUGGGAGUUCGAUUCUCUCAGUCGGUACUA